rnacentral:rRNA from 1 species
GCUUCGGCCCUAGUGGCGCACGGGUGAGUAACGCGUGGGAACCUGCCCUGUGGUACGGAACAACUCCGGGAAACUGGAGCUAAUACCGUAUGCGUCCUCUGGGACAAAGAUUUAUCGCCAUGGGAUGGGCCCGCGUAGGAUUAGCUAGUUGGCGGGGUAACGGCCCACCAAGGCUACGAUCCUUAGCUGGUCUGAGAGGAUGAUCAGCCACACUGGGACUGAGACACGGCCCAGACUCCUACGGGAGGCAGCAGUGGGGAAUAUUGGACAAUGGGCGCAAGCCUGAUCCAGCAAUGCCGCGUGAGUGAUGAAGGCCUUCGGG